rnacentral:rRNA from 1 species
GAUGAACGCUGGCGGCGUGCCUAAUACAUGCAAGUCGAGCGAACAGACGAGGAGCUUACUCCUCUGACGUUAGCGGCGGACGGGUGAGUAACACGUGGAUAACCUACCUAUAAGACUGGGAUAACUUCGGGAAACCGGAGCUAAUACCGGAUAAUAUAUUGAACCGCAUGGUUCAAUAGUGAAAGACGGUUUUGCUGUCACUUAUAGAUGGAUCCGCGCCGCAUUAGCUAGUUGGUAAGGUAACGGCUUACCAAGGCAACGAUGCGUAGCCGACCUGAGAGGGUGAUCGGCCACACUGGAACUGAGACACGGUCCAGACUCCUACGGGAGGCAGCAGUAGGGAAUCUUCCGCAAAGGGCGAAAGCCUGACGGAGCAACGCCGCGUGAGUGAUGAAGGUCUUCGGAUCGUAAAACUCUGUUAUUAGGGAAGAACAAAUGUGUAAGUAACUAUGCACGUCUUGACGGUACCUAAUCAGAAAGCCACGGCUAACUACGUG